CGAGUGGCGAACGGGUGAGUAACGCGUGAGGAACCUGCCUCAAAGAGGGGGACAACAGUUGGAAACGACUGCUAAUACCGCAUAAGCCCACGGGUCGGCACCGACCAGAGGGAAAAGGAGCAAUCCGCUUUGAGAUGGCCUCGCGUCCGAUUAGCUAGUUGGUGGGGUAAUGGCCCACCAAGGCAACGAUCGGUAGCCGGACUGAGAGGUUGAACGGCCACAUUGGGACUGAGACACGGCCCAG
rnacentral:rRNA from 1 species